rnacentral:rRNA from 1 species
CAUGCAACAUGUGCCUUCUGCCAAUUCGGUCCUGUGCGAGCUCACAAUCCCACUCUCGGCGUAAAAGUUGGUCAUCUAUCCGACCCGUCUUGAAACACGGACCAAGGAGUUUAUCGUGUGCGCAAGUCAUUGGGUGUUGAAAACUCAAAGGCGCAAUGAAAGUAAAGAAUCCGCAAGGAUACGACGUGUGAUCUGAGCAAUCACGAUUGCCUGGAGCAACAUGGCCCCAUUCUGGUCGCUUGCGACGGGGUGGAGGAAGAGCGUACGCGGUGAGACCCGAAAGAUGGUGAACUAUUCCUGAGCAGGAUGAACGCCACGAUGGAAAGCUCUGGUGGAAGUCCCGAAGCGAUUCCUGAACGUGCAAAUCCGAUCGUCUGACCUUGGGAUAGGGGCAAAAUACUCUCCCAGUUCC